rnacentral:rRNA from 1 species
UAUGUGAUCGUCUCUCGCAUAUCAAUAAGCGGAGGAAAAGAAACUAACAAGGAUUCCCCUAGUAACGGCGAGUGAAGCGGGAAGAGCUCAAAUUUGAAAUCUUAAAGGGUUUCCCUUUACGAAUUGUAGUUUAAAGUAGUGUUUUCUGUUGAGGUUUUGGUAAAAGUUCUUUGGAAUAGGACAUCAUAGAGGGUGAGAAUCCCGUAUUUGACCUUUACUUUCAACUUUGUGAUACACUUUCAAAGAGUCGGAUUGUUUGGGAAUGCAGUCCAAAAUGGGUGGUAAAUUUCAUCUAAAGCUAAAUAUUGGCGAGAGACCGAUAGCGAACAAGUACCGUGAGGGAAAGAUGAAAAGAACUUUGAAAAGAGAGUUAAACAGUACGUGAAAUUGUCAAAAGGGAAGCGUUUGACACCAGUGUUGUUUUUCUGAAAAUCAAUUAAAGAACUGUUUAUGCUAAGCUGUUUAGACUUUAUCAGCUAAUCUGUUUAGUUUUGAGCUUUUCUUUAAUGCACUUUUCAGUUAACAAGUCAACAUCAAUUUCUUUUGCUGUAAAAAAGCUUGAGGAAGGUGGCUUGAGAUUCGUCUUAAGUGUUUAUAGCCUCUUGCCUAUGCAGUCGGAGAGAUUGAGGUCUGCAGCGUAGAUCCUUCGGGGCUAAAUGCAUUUGUGCUAAGUUAUAGCAUUUUAUAGACAACUUGUUGACUAUGAUUUGUCUUGUAGCUUACUCGCUUAUGUUAUUUUACCUACGCUUAGGAUGUUGAGUAGCGACAUACGCAC